GAUGAACGCUGGCGGCGUGCCUAAUACAUGCAAGUCGAGCGAACAGACGAGGAGCUUGCUCCUCUGACGUUAGCGGCGGACGGGUGAGUAACACGUGGAUAACCUACCUAUAAGACUGGGAUAACUUCGGGAAACCGGAGCUAAUACCGGAUAAUAUAUUGAACCGCAUGGUUCAAUAGUGAAAGACGGUUUUGCUGUCACUUAUAGAUGGAUCCGCGCCGCAUUAGCUAGUUGGUAAGGUAACGGCUUACCAAGGCGACGAUGCGUAGCCGACCUGAGAGGGUGAACGGCCACAUUGCAACUAGGAAACGGUCCAGAUCCCGACGGGAGGCGGAAGAAGGGAAUUUUCCGCAAUGGGGGAAGGCCUGACGGAGAAACGCGGCGUGAGUGAUGAAGGUCUUCGGAACUAAAAAAGAUGUUAUUAGGGACAAACAAUGUGUAAGUAACUAUGCACGUCUUGACGGUACCUAAUCAGAAAGCCACGGCUAACUACGUG
rnacentral:rRNA from 1 species